CCCACCUAAGAGCCCAUGGCCCGGGGCCACUGCUGACCGGUGGGGCUGUUCUUGGGUCCCCAGGUAUGGGCAGCAGGCGCAGGGGUGCCCCACAGCCCACCCUCGACGCUCGUGUGGAAGAGCCAGAGCAGCUGGGACACCGGCGAGAGCUUCCGCACCGUCCUGGUCAAUGCCGAUGGGGAGGAAGUGGCUGUGAGAGCGGUGAAGCAGACCUCAGGCCUGCAGGAGAACGGGGAGGAGGAGGAGGAGGAGGCUGAGUUCGGCGAGGAAGACCUUUUCCACCAACAGGGCGACCCUCGGACUGUGGCGAGGGGCUGCCGGCUGAUGUGACCAGCGACACCCUCGAGCACUCCUGCGGCCCUGGGGACUGUUUUGCUACCACGACUUUCAUUUGUCCUGGACACAUUUCUAGCCGGUGUACCGCCAGCACAUGGGAGGGAGGGAGGGAGGGAGGGAGGGUCUCUGCAGCGCUUUCCUGUGGGUGGCCGGUGGUGUCCCGGGACCAUCCCUUCGUCACCCCUUCUCUGCUGUCCAGGCUUUUGGUCCCUCCUCACCCCAAGUUGGCCACUAGGUUGAAUAUGAGGUUUGGGGCCAGGACCUGGAGGUCAGGAAGGUGGGGCUGCCGUUGGGGAUGGGGGUGAAGCGGUAUGGGGAUUCCAUAGCUGUGGGGUUUGUUCUUUUUAAAGCUGUUGCAGAACUAAAAUCAGAAACCGGUUCCGACCUGGUGUGGAGGUGUUGGGGUCACCGACCUGUCAUGAUUGGGUGGCACCCGGGGACCAAGAGCGGGGAGUGGCCUGGGCCCAGACACCUGUGGUGACUCCGGUUUCUGGAGCUGCUCCCACAGCUCUUGCCCUGACCCUGCAGGACCCACGGGCAGGAAAGGAGGGAGCUGGGGAAUGGGGACCUUGCCGUUCCAAGCCUUGUCACCAUGAUGCAAGGAGGGGACAAAGCCAGGGACAAGUGGCUUGUGUCUGGGACCCCCAGAGAC